rnacentral:rRNA from 1 species
UUUACGGAGAGUUUGAUCCUGGCUCAGGAUGAACGCUGGCGGCGUGCCUAAUACAUGCAAGUCGAGCGAACGGACGAGAAGCUUGCUUCUCUGAUGUUAGCGGCGGACGGGUGAGUAACACGUGGAUAACCUACCUAUAAGACUGGGAUAACUUCGGGAAACCGGAGCUAAUACCGGAU